rnacentral:lncRNA from 1 species
AGGCCAGUCUUGAACUCCAGGAUUCAAGCAAUCCUCUGGCCUCAGUCUCCCAAAGUGCUGGGAUUACAGGCAUGAGCCACCACACCCAGCCAAGACUAAGUUCUUGAAAGCACCACUGAGCCACUAUCUCAAACCAGGAGCUUUUAAUUUCCAAACUUCCUAACAGGGAGGUAAAUUACUUUUCUGUAUUGCUUGUGUCAGUGUAGUUGGGUAUUCUACUGCUUCCAGUUGAAAGCAUCCUAAUUCAGAUCUCACUAAGGACAACUCUUCAGGGAACAGUUCUCUGAACAUCUGCUAAUUGUCACAUUCUAUAAAAACUGAACAUCAGAAUUAUUUUGCUCUACCAAUAAUUUUCUUUCUAAAGUUUGAGCAAACUAUGAGAGGAAUUCCUCCAUAAACUCAAUUUGACUGUUCAGGGUGACCUGUUAGGUGAACAAGAUGGUGUAGUGGAAAUCUGGUUGUCUAUUCAAUAUCCAUUUACCUCUUCCUCAAUUGUGACGGAAUUUGUUUUGUCCAGAUAUCAAACCUGCACAUGGAUCUAAGCAGGGGUGGGAUGAAGGGGGCGGAUCUUGUGUAAGCCAAUCAGCAUAAGGUAUUCUGUUGAUAACUAUUACUGGUCCAUAAAAAUACAUAUAACCUAAUUUGGCUCAAUCAGACCUUUAAAAAGGGGACUAAGAGUCCAUGCCCAGGGAAUGGUUUCUCUCUCUUCCGCUGGACUUUAACAAGCAAGCACAUGACGGGCUUCAUCAGUCCUGGACGAGAAAGCUGAGAUGAAAAUAACUUGAGUCUUGGAUGAAAUCAGUGACCCUAUGAUAUCAUCACAUCUAGAGCUGACUCUAACUGGACUUCCAGCUAUAUAUUCAAGAAACAAGACCUGCAAACCCCUCUUUGCUGAUUCAAGUAUGCCUGGCGAAGAUCCACAAAGUAGAAGGCAGAAGGUCAGCUCAGUACCCAAGGCACUUCCUGUGGAAAGUUACUCACUUAAUCCCAAAGGCAAGACAAGGGCAACCCUUUAAUAUUCAUUUGGAAAAAUCAAAAAGGGAGAGUAGCAUAGAUAGGGUUGCUGAUCCAGUCAAGUCAAUACCAGGCUUCUCACACCUCUCCCAGUGCCUAUCCCAGAAGAUUGAGAACAAUGCUAGGAAGGUAAUUAAAUUGGGGUAGCUAACUCUUCAAGUCUAAUGCAAAUAUUUCCUUCAUUUAGCUGUUCACUUCAUUUGGUUUAAAUAAAGAUAAACCACAUCAAGAUACAAACAUCUAAACUCUUUUCUAAAAGACUCAAAGGAAGAAUACAUUUAUAGAAAAGUUUGGAAAGAUAACCAAAAACGAAGCCAUUCAACCUUUCAAUUAUAGCAGCCCAUAGCAUUGUUACGACUUUUGCGACUGACUACAUAACAAAAGGGGCUGUGUGGUGGAAGACCCUGGAUUUAAACCUGUUUGAUUAUAUCUCUGGAUGUAAAGUCUUUGACUGGAGGGAUAAUCUUUCUCUCCUCAGUAUUUUCCAGGGUCUUAAUAAAUAUCUGCUGAAUGAACAAAUGUUUGAAUGGCAGAAAUUAUUCUUUCUGGAUUAUCUUGGGAUAUUUUCAUACAUGAUCAGUUUUGUGUGUGUGUGUGUGUGUGUGUGUGUGUGUGUGUACAAUUCAGCAUAUUUUAAGCAUCCAACUGUUAAGUUGUUAAACUUAAUAUUGAGUAUCACCACUAUUCAGUACUAGUCCUUUAAUUUCUUUCAACGACUUUAGUCUCCAAAAUAGGUUCUUUAGGCUUCUUCUGUCUCCUAAAGGCAGGAAGAUAGUAGCCAUCUAUUUCCUCAUAUUUCUAAUGAGGUUCUAGGUUCUUCUAAUUACUCUUUUCAGUAAAAGCAGCAGUCAUAAAAUAGAAAAAAAUUGUCUAAAAUCACCACCAUACCUAUUUUUUCUUGAGUUUUCAAGUCUCUGCCUUUGCUACUACUAAAUUUUCAGAUACUUUAUGCCUAGCAUUAUCCCUGCUAUUCAUCUUCAACUUAGGCCAGUGGUUGUUAAAGAGGAGUGCACUUGAAAAUCAUCUAGGAGUUUCUCAGUCAACAGGUGCAGACCAGGGCCCAAGUUGUGAAUUCUGGAAAACAUUCUUCAGAUGAUUCUGAGGUGCACCUCUGGGUAAGAACCACUGGGUGAAUGUAGCCUACUUUCAGGUAAGGUAUAAAAAAUGUAUAAUAGAUUUAUUCCCAAUCUACUGCACUUGAGGUACAAUUAAGAUCUACUUAGGAAUAACAUUAAAAUCUACAAAGGUUUUUGAAUUAAGGAACUUUCAUGAUCGUUGCCAGAGAGAUCUAAGUUUGCAAAAUAUUUUUCCUUUGAAGCUAUUCUCAGAAAAAUGUGAUCUAACAGUCUAAGAAAUACCGAUUUAGGUUAAGUUUAUCUUAUAGCAAUGCAGACAGUUGUGUUGGAUUUCACCCUCCAGCCAAUGGCCUGUUUACUGGGUUAUAUGCAACUGUACAUUUCCGCAACAAGUCUUUCUAAUUAGCAUUCAUAAUGAGGUUUUAAGAUUGAAGAUCAAGAUUAUGUGCAAUCCUAAAAAUGAAUAUGUUGGAAUAAAAUCUCAUUAAGUACAAGGCGUGAAGUGUAAAGUGCCUGUGAUUUAGAGAAUAUAAAAAUCUUAACUCUAAUCUAAUUCUACCACUAUCCACUCCUAACUUGAGCAAGUCUUUUUUGACUUCACUGUGCUUCCAUUUCCCCAUGGAGGUUGGGGAAAUAGGACACCUGGGACCAAUAAGGAUCCAACACCCAGUCCUCUUCCCAAAAUAUUAUUACACUGAAAAUGAAAAACAUGGCAGUUUGAAUUCUCAGAAGGGUCCUAUAUGGAUUCAGAUUGUUCUUCUUGUAACCAGGAUUCAAUAAUAAUCAAGUCAUAUACUUAACAGACCUCAACUGAAUGUCUGCUAUCCACAACUCUAAAGGUAUGAGCUAUUCUGUUCUGGUUUUUACAGAUGAUUUAUUUUACAUUGAAUCAUCACAACUCUAUGAAGUAGUUUGGGCAUGUAUUAUUGUCUCCAUUUUACGGAUGAGGAAACCAAGGUACAGAAAGUUAAGGACCUGCCCAAGACCACACAAUCAGUUAAGCAGUAGAUUUUCUAAGUCUAAAGCUUUUGCAUUUUCUUUUACACACAAAUGAAGUACACAAACAUAAUUCUCACUCUCUGCCCUGAUAACAUAAAGAAAACUAUGAUAUCAUAUGAUACUUUUGAAUAUAUGCCACUUAUAACAAUUGUACCACCUUUGUGGUUCAGAUGAAGUCCAAGAUAAGCUUUUGAUAUUCCUAAAAUUAGCAUUUCUUUUUAUUUAAUCACCCCUUUUUAUCAAGGCAAGUUCAGCACAAGCCUACAGCUUACACAACUGACGAGGGAGUUAGAUCAUGAACAAGGAAACCAUGUACAAAUGUUAAGGUUGCAUCUUUAAAAAUAGUUAAUAAAGUACACAUACUUUUUAAGAACACACUCCCCUUCAAAUUUACUUAUUUUAUAAAAUAGUUCAUUAUGGGAUUUCUUUAAAUAACCAUCUAUUCUAAAAGCAACUUAAGUAUAUCAUUUACACAACAGUAGAUAUACCAUACUAUAUAUAGAAUCACAAAAUGUAUUAUGGUUCUCUUUUUAUAAAUAAUAAGUGAAAUUCAGAGGAGUAAUGUCUUGAUGAAGCUAAAUGUAGCUAAACUUAAAAACAUGAUAAACUAAACAUCAGGAGAAUAAAAACAAAGCCUCAGGACUUUCAGCCUAGACUGUUUUCCAUUACACAGUAACUUCUUAUCAGCUUGCGACAAGUUCCUUAUCCCUCCUUUUUUAUAGCUCAGUGAGGAAGACUGGCCAUAUGUGAAAUUCCAAAGAGGCAGGAAAGAGGUGCAAGGGAAAGAAGCCAGGCUCUCUAGUACUAAUAUAUUGGCAUAUGGCUUUGGCAUUCUCUCUCAGCUGUUAUUAAGUUAAAAGUGGUAGUGUGGUGUGGAAGUUAGGGUAGGGGCAAAAAGCAGAGGGAAUCGGCAUGGAGACUGAGGCUCCAGUUCUGAUACUGCACAACCCACCUUGGGGGCCAUUUCAUAACUAUAAGCUUUAAUUUCCUUAUUUAUUCAUUCAUUUAACAAUCCUCCAUUAAGCACCUACUAUGAGCCAGGCACUGUUAUAGGUAGUGGGGAUAUGACAGUAAAUGAAAUAGAAAAUUCCUACUUUCUCAGAGCUUACAUUCUAGCUGCCGUGAAGCAACACAGGUAAUUAAAAAUAUAUGUAUCAUGCAGGUGACAGUGUAUAGAAUAGAGUAGCCACUAGCCACAUGUAGCUAUUAAAAUUUUUACAAACUAAAAAUUCAGUACCUCACUCUCACCAGCCACAAUUCAAGUGCUCAACAGCCACAUAUGGCUAGUGGCUACCAGACUGGCAAGUGCAGAUACAGAGCAUUUCCAUCUUCACAGAAAGGUCUUAGGACAGCACCAUGAUAGAGUGAUGGGGAAGGGAUGUAAUUUACAUGGGGUGUUGAGGGAAAGCCUCUCUAAUAAGGAGACUUUUGAAAGAGACCUGAGUAAAGAGGGAGUGGGGUGAGGGGGUGAGCUAAGUUGAUAACUGAAGAAAGAGCUUCCAAACAAAAGAGUAUCAUUUGUUUGUGGAAUUGUUGGACACAUACCACUUAAGGUCCCUUUCAGCACUUAAAAUGGGUUAAGAGUUCCAAGUUCUUUUAAAAAUGGCCUGAGGCCCACCGCCCUGUCUGGGAUGUCAGGAGUGCCACUGCCCGGCUGCCCACUGUCUGGGAAGUGAGGAGUACCUCUGUCCGGCCACCCCGUCUGGGAAGUGAGGUGCCUCUCCGCCUGGCCACCACCCCAUCUGGGAAGUGAGGUGCCCCUCUGCCCGGCUGCUGCCCCGUCUGGGAAGUGAGGAGCGCCUCUGCCCAGCUGCUGCCCCGUCUGGGAUGUGAGGAGCGCCUCUGCCCAGCUGCCGCCCUGUCUGGGAUGUGAGGAGCGCCUCUGCCUGGCCGCCCCACCGUCUGGGAAGUGUGGAGCGUCUCUGCCCAGCUGCCCACUGUCUGGGAAGUGAGGAGUGCCUCGGCCCGGCUUCUGCCCUGUCUGGGAAGUGAAGAGCACCACUGCCCGGCUGCCCCACGUCUGGGAAGUGAGGAGCACCUCUGCCCGGCCGCUGUGCAACCUUCCAAGUGUGAAGUGACAGCCUUGUGUGUGAUCUUUUCUGUCUUCCCCAAGUUUGCAUUUUUGACAUUAAAGUUUACUUUUUAAUUAAAAAAAAAAUGGCCUGAGGCUUUAGUUUUAUUCGAAUAAAGCAUGCUACAAUUCCAUUUUCAUUUUUCAGAAAGCAAUACUUCCGUGGGAUACCCACUCCCUACUUAAAAGCAUUUCUUGGCCAGGCA